CAAUAGCGUAUAUUAAAGUUGUUGCGGUUAAAAAGCUCGUAGUUGGAUUUCUGCUGAGAACGACCGGUCCGCCCUUUGGGUGUGUAUCUGGCUCUUUCUUGGCAUCUUCUUGGUGAACGUUGCUGCACUUGACUGUGUGGAGCGCUACCCAGGACUUUUACUUUGAGGAAAUUAGAGUGUUUCAAGCAGGCAUACGCCUUGAAUACAUUAGCAUGGAAUAAUAAGAUAGGACCUCGGUUCUAUUUUGUUGGUUUCUAGAGCUGAGGUAAUGAUUAAUAGGGAUAGUUGGGGGCAUUCGUAUUUAACUGUCAGAGGUGAAAUUCUUGGAUUUGUUAAAGACGGACUACUGCGAAANCANNNGCCAAGGAUGGUUUCAUNGA
rnacentral:rRNA from 1 species